rnacentral:rRNA from 1 species
UACGAAGGGUGCAAGCGUUAAUCGGAAUUACUGGGCGUAAAGCGUGCGUAGGCGGUCUUUUAAGUCUGCUGUGAAAUCCCCGGGCUCAACCUGGGAAUGGCAGUGGAUACUGGGAGGCUAGAGUGUGUCAGAGGAUGGUGGAAUUCCCGGUGUAGCGGUGAAAUGCGUAGAGAUCGGGAGGAACAUCAGUGGCGAAGGCGGCCAUCUGGGACAACACUGACGCUGAGGCGCGAAGGCUAGGGGAGCGAACGGG